CAAGGAAUAUUGGGCAAUGGGCGAAAGCCUGACGCAGCGACCGCGUGAGGGAUGAAGGCCUUCGGGUUGUAAACCUCUUUUCCCAGGGAAGAAUAAUGACGGUACCUGGGGAAUAAGUCUCGGCUAACUACGUG
rnacentral:rRNA from 1 species